rnacentral:rRNA from 1 species
GACGAACGCUGGCGGCGUGCUUAACACAUGCAAGUCGAACGGAAAGGCCCUGCUUUUGUGGGGUGCUCGAGUGGCGAACGGGUGAGUAACACGUGAGUAACCUGCCCUUGACUUUGGGAUAACUUCAGGAAACUGGGGCUAAUACCGGAUAGGAGCUCCUGCUGCAUGGUGGGGGUUGGAAAGUUUCGGCGGUUGGGGAUGGACUCGCGGCUUAUCAGCUUGUUGGUGGGGUAGUGGCUUACCAAGGCUUUGACGGGUAGCCGGCCUGAGAGGGUGACCGGGCCCAUUGGGACUGAGAUACGGCCCAGACUCCUACGGGAGGCAGCAGUGGGGAAUAUUGUACAAUGGGCGGAAGCCUGAUGCAGCAACGCCGCGUGCGGGAUGACGGCCUUCGGGUUGUAAACCGCUUUCGCCUGUGACGACGCGUGAGUGACGGUAAUGGGUAAAGAAGCACCGGCUAACUACGUG